AAAGUCGACCGUGUUCGGAUACCCCCACUUCCCUUCACCACACAUCGCUUCUCUACCCAUGGCUUUUUGAAAGGCUGGCUUAGUUUGUUACACAGAUCAAGAACGCCAACCGCUGCAACACCUCCGUUCUUCACCAGCCAGAGACGAGGGAAAGGACAGGAAGUCCAGCCUCACUCCUUCCUCAGCUCCAAUGAGAAAUGCAGUCCAUUGUUGUUGGCAAAGAGUUGGGGCAGAAGAGGCUGAAGGCUUGGUUGGUGCCUGUAGCCAGUCCUGGCAGGGAGCAUGGAGAAGCCCCAGAGGUCACUUCCUCUGUCAUCGCUGACAGGAAGAGUAUUAUUUGUGGGUGGGAAGAGAGAGGUCUCUUCGGAGGAUUCUAGCAGCGUCCACGCUCCUCAUGGCUCAGCCUGGAAUUGCUCUGCCGCCGCUACAGACCAUGGGAGGAGUCACUGGGUGACAGUGGGGUUUAACACCCCUCCAGCUGGCCCCAGAACCCCAGGGACAGAACCAGGCACCGAGCCUUGCAGGGAAGACACAGGACUCAAGGGCUCCGGCACGCUCCUCAGGGCACCUGGCUGAGGCUGCGAGGGCUGUGGAGGAGGUGGGGCCGGCGGCUGCUGCUGCUGCUGCUGCUGCUGCUGCUGCAGUUUCUUCUUGUUGAUUUUCCUUUCCUUGGCUCUUCGGUUCUGAAACCAAAUUUUAACCUAGAAAUGACAAGGAAGAAGGUAGAAGAGAUGAAAAGAGAAGCAGCAGCAUUCCAAGAUCAUCCUUGCCUGAGGAAAAAGUCUCUUUGGAUAGUGAUUGGCUCUUCCAGAAGUUUCCAAUCACUAUCCAACGCCCCCCACCAUUGAGCUUUAGCGCAAUGUGGAAGCAUUCGUUCCCAGACUCAAAUCAGCCUGAUGGGAAGUGGCAAUCCCACGCCUGGCCCAUCCCCUCCCUUCCCCCGUUGCUUUCCAAAAGAGCCUCUUGGAAUCUCAGUACCACGCAGAAACCACAGAGAAAGGUCCUCCCCCCAUGCAGAUGGGUGGCCAACUCGGGUGUGCUUCACGGGCAUCCUUUGGCCCUCAGUGCCCGCAAGGAGAUUUCCUGUAAAAUUUCCUGACUGAA